UCCCCGUUCUCCUGGGCAGUCUCUCCAGAGUUCCCGGCAUGACCCGUUGGUAACUGAAGACAGGGGUUGCGCUCGUUGCGGGACUUAACCCAACACCUCACGACACGAGCUGACGACAGCCAUGCAGCACCUGUGUAUCCUGAUAUUGCUAUCUCGUUAGGCUUUCACCCUUCCACUAGAUACAUGUCAAGGCCAGGUAAGGUUCUUCGCGUUGCAUCGAAUUAAGCCACAUACUCCACCGCUUGUGCAGGCCCCCGUCAAUUUCUUUGAGUUUUAGCCUUGCGGCCGUACUCCCCAGGCGGGGUGCUUAAUGCGUUAGCUUCGGCACGGACGGAGUCGACACCGCCCACACCUAGCACCCAUCGUUUACGGCGUGGACUAC
rnacentral:misc_RNA from 1 species